rnacentral:rRNA from 1 species
GAUGAACGCUGGCGGCGUGCCUAAUACAUGCAAGUCGAGCGAACAGACGAGGAGCUUGCUCCUCUGACGUUAGCGGCGGACGGGUGAGUAACACGUGGAUAACCUACCUAUAAGACUGGGAUAACUUCGGGAAACCGGAGCUAAUACCGGAUAAUAUAUUGAACCGCAUGGUUCAAUAGUGAAAGACGGUUUUGCUGUCACUUAUAGAUGGAUCCGCGCCGCAUUAGCUAGUUGGUAAGGUAACGGCUUACCAAGGCAACGAUGCGUAGCCGACCUGAGAGGGUGAUCGGCCACACUGGAACUGAGACACGGUCCAGACUCCUACGGGAGGCAGCAGUAGGGAAUCUUCCGCAAAGGGCGAAAGCCUGACGGAGCAACGCCGCGUGAGUGAUGAAGGUCUUCGGAUCGUAAAACUUUGUUAUUAGGGAAGAACAAAUGUGUAAGUAACUAUGCACGUCUUGACGGUACCUAAUCAGAAAGCCACGGCUAACUACGUG